rnacentral:lncRNA from 1 species
GUACAGUGAUCCCAGAGAUCAAUGCUCAUUGAACACAUAGAAGCUGAAUAACAAGAGUCUUACAUCCAUACAUACCGUAUUACACAAGUAGGACCAUUAUGGUCAAGUCUUGAGUAUAACAUCGCAGCGGAAAUCUUCGUCGAUAACUUGGACCCAUGCCAUCUGCCUUAACCUACAGGCAUUCUGACUGGGAAGCGUCCUAGCUCGCAUGUUCGUCACGAAGUAUUCUUCAUCAUAUCCUGUUCUUUCAUGCCUGGCCAAUAAAAUAACCAGUGGCAAGCCAAUGAGUACUUUGAAUGUACUCGCCAGCAACCCAAGAGUGAUAACAGAAUAAAUAUGCACGGCUCUACUGCUAAAUUGGCAGUUUUGCAGAAAGCUAGUUUUUCUCAUGCAAGUAUGAUCAACAUUUACCAAGGAUAUGAAUGCGUCUGCAACAAGUAUCAGGAGGUUACAGACAUCAACAUCGAGAGAGAGUUAUGAACAACUCAUGCUCAAGCUCAUCGUGACUUCCUCACGAAUCACGUCAAUAGAUUUACCAAACCGUGUUGUUUGUCAGAAACAUAUGGACGUAGUCUAAGCAGCACCACCCAACUGUCCUUGACCGUGGACACGGCUAUUCGAAUAGUUUUACACUCUGCAGAGGUUGCACACUUUACCCACAAGAUCCGGGGAACUUCCGUGUCAUCCACGAACCGCGGUACCUCAAGUACCCGGGGUAAGCACCCGAUCACUAUCUUUCCCUAGACGACACUAACAUAGAGUCCACUCGAUUGGUAGUAACCCCUGUGCCCAACAUUUCACAACUUAAAAUUGUGGAGCCUCGCUCCCAUAUUCACCACAUACCACUGGCACAGGGUACCAACGGUGUGUCCGGUGCCCCAUAAAAAUGUUCUUGGCCGCCCUACCUGGCACGACCCCGUCCAGAGAGAGCGCAACAAUGACUCUCCCGUCACUAGUAAUGCGGGCUCCAAGCUAGUAUCGACCUAUGUAAUCAAUAAUGCCCUUUCCCAUAUAAGGGUAGAGUGGUCGCGCAUGUUUGGUUGGGACGGUCGACAAAUCUUAAAUCUAAUCCGUCUCUGUAAACAACACUUUUAUCGAGCCUCGGUACACUACUUCUCCACCAAGUAGUGACCUAGUUCAUCAUCAUCUCCCAGGGGCAUUAGUGGCACCCACUGGGCUGUUUGCAAGUAUGUCAAACCACACUUGUUUCUUUCCAUGCAUAACCCUGACCCACUUUGCGUAGCCAUUUACUAUAGCAUAUUUCUACAACCCACCAACACAACUCUAAGCAAGGGUAGAGUCAUGAACAAUGCAAGUAUCAAUGGAGUAUGCAACGGAGGCAAGCCUAGCAAGGUUGCCAUUCAAGGUAUAUCAUGCACUCAGUGAAGCAACGAAAAUGCUAUUAUGAUGUAAAAUGGUUCAUCAUGGUCAAAGGGCUGCUUGCCUAUUUUAACAAAGUCUUUAGGGUCUUCAAAUAUCUCUGGUCCAACUCCGAGCAUUUCGUCUACUUCAUCAACUAUUGUCGAAAGCAACCAUAAUAAGCAACACAACAAGUCAGAAAAUAAAAGUGCUCUAAAAAUAUUAAUUUGACUUUUCUAGGACAUCUCUGGGUAUAUGAAAAAUAACCAGAGUGGUUUCAUUGGAAUUGGGUCAGUGGAUAUUUCUAAACAUUUUGAUAUGAUGGAAUCAAGGGGUUUAUGGAUUUGCAAGAAGUGUAUAGAAAUAUAUUUUUGAAAAAUGAGAAAAGGCACGCAUUUAACAAAGGAUGAUUUUAGAAUCAUCUAUGAUUUGGUUUCACUGGAUUUGGAGUUCAAAUGAAUAUUCUAUGGAUUUGCAAAGUUGACAAACAUGAAGAAAUGGCUCAUUAUUUUGUGGGGUACAGAAAGUAUUAAGAAAACUGUUCAUAACCUAAGUUAUGAAAUUAGAUGUAUCUACAAACUUGAAUCAUGGCAUUUGGAUCAAAUUUGAGCUCUCUGUGAUUUUCUAAAGUUCAUCACAGAGAUGGAAAAUGGGGUUUCAUAAACAUUUGUGAAGAAAAUGUUUCUAGAAAAAUGUGCAAAUAGCACCAUGUGAUAGAUCAUGAAUUUAGGAACUACUAGAAAAUUGAAUUAUCAAAUUUGGAGCUAAUUUGAAUUGUUUAUGGAUUUUACAAGUCAACAGAAAAAGAAAAAGAAAAUCUUUAGGCUUAUACCUAAAACACGCAUCGGGCGAGGGAUAGCCAUCGGGCGUUUGAAGAAGCUCCCUGGCCCUUCUGGUUUCAAUCGCCGUCGGGGUCUCGCCCUCGACCGGUAGAGCCGCCAAUUGCGUAGCUGCAGCAAUCAUGUUGUCUAGAGGGGGUGGAGUAAUGACCCGGCGGCGUCACUACGCGCUGAGGCGGGGUGUUAUCCAUAUGCGGAGAACCGGCCACGCGUGGCUGACCCGGCACUCCACCUCCUGGCGCCUCAACCGUCUGGUUUAUCACCGGCGGAUUACUAGCCCCCGCUCCGGGUGUGUUGAAGAGGUCCCUCGACUCAUAAAUGGAGGGCAGACGACUCCGGUGUUUCCUCCUCAAGACUUUGUUUGAAGCAUUCUGAUCCAUCAUAAGUUGGUAUGAAUCUGCUUGAAUCCACUGCGCUUGGGCGUUCAAAACGACCCGUUCCAGAGCCAUCCUGGCGUUUUCCACUGCCAAAUCUGCCUUAGCUUGCGCAAUCUCAUCACACAUUUAGCCACUUCUACUUUAUGUUGUUCCUGGUUGUCUGGGGUUACAUCAACCUCCAUCAGAGUCGCCAGAGCGUCUAGUAGAUCUGCCAAAACUUGAGCCGGCGGGCGUGUUGAACCUCCAGCACCCGCUGCUGUCACCGCCGCUGCACUGGAAGUCAUGGCCGCGACGGCUGUCGAACCAAGAACCGGCUAAGUGCCAGCCAUGAAGAUCGUCACCCUGUUCGGCGGCUCAAGGGGGUCCGGAAUACUGCCGCCAUCGGAACAGCCCCCAAGCCGUCCGUCUUGUAGUUGAUACAUUGAGUUGGUCUCGCCUGUGGACGACUCAUCAUCAGAGUAGAUGGCUGUCUCACCGCCAGACAAAGAACCUUCCAAUUCAGCCGCAUGGAUACAUCCAACAAAGGCACGCUUCACGGCGGGCUUAAUUCGGGCAAGUCGUGCACGAUGAGCCAUCUCGAUGAUGUCGGUGCAGGUGUCCGGCUCAGUGCCCGGUUCGCCGAUCUUGCCGAUGAAGACAUGAAUUCCGCCGAAGGGGACCCGAUACCCGUACUCAAUUGAGCCGGCCUCAGGGCCUCAGCCUGCAUCGUCGAUGAAGAGCUUGCCGCGACGACUCUUAGUCAUCCGGCCCACAGCGUAUCCCUUGAUCCCUUUGAAGUUGCCCUUCAAGAACUCAAAACCACCGUGUGCUGGCCCCACGGUGGGCGGCAACUGUCGUGGAAGUGCUACGGCAGAUGUCCUCAUGGAAGGACUUAGUUGUGGAGCUAUUGCGACGAGGUUAGCUUAAAGGGGUUAAACAUGACAAAGGACAUGAGGAGUUUAUACUGGUUCAGCCCCUUGCGGUGAAGGUAAAUGCCUAAUCCAGUUUGAGGUGGUAUUGCUAGGGUUUCGAUGACCAGGGAGCAAAUACGCUUUGCCUGACUCUCGAUUUGUUGUUUCUUGCCCUAAGCCGCAGCCGGGUCGUCCCCUUAUAUACAUGGGUUGAUGCCCUGCGGCCUACAGAGUCCCAGCCGGUUCAUACAACGUGUCCGGCUCGGUGACUUAUCUUACAUGCCUUACAUUACAAGUCUACGCAUACAUGGCGGUUUACACUUAUGGGCCUUAAGCCGCCUUCGGAUUUGGCCCUUUAACAAGCCUGUCUAUGAACCGCCAUCUUUAAUAUACUGUUGGGCUUCAUUUAGAUGAACCGCCAUAAGGAUGACCCGGCCCCUCCUGGGCGGGUCAUAUCUGAUAGUCAUAUCCCCAACAUAUCUCGUUGUUGGGACACGACCGGAUAGGUCAGCCUACGAGUAAAACCAGUCCUCGAGUUGCCUCGCGGUGGCCUCGAAGUCUGCCAAUUUUGGACCAACACCAUCGGCGCUGGCCCACCUCUAUUAUGUUGAACUAAGAAUCCGCGGGCGGAGCUAACUCCCUAUGCGUUAAUUUAAUUAAUCAGGACUAUUAUGUUGGCCAAUUUUAAAACCAAAGUUGGGCCUUACUGAAAAAGUUUUAUUCUAAGCGAAUGAUCAAGGGUCCCCAUAAAACCCCACACGUGUUAGGAGCGCUCAUCAUGGAACAUAACACCGGUAUGACGAAAACUAGGGCAGCAAGAGUGGAACAAAACAUCAAGCAAAAGGCCGAGCUUUCCACCCUGUACCGAGUAUAUAGAUGCAUUAGUUAAAUAAGAAAUAUUACAAUAUCACAUCAUAUCCAUGUCCCAACAUGGAACAAACUGCAUUGCACCUGCAACUAGCAAUCUUAUAAGAGGGGUUGAGCAAAGUUGUAACAUAGCCAAACAAUGAUUUGCUGGGAUGGUGUAGGUUAAAGGUUGUAUCAUGGCAAUUUGUGAGGCUUAACAAACAAGUGGUAGGUAACGAGACAUAGCGAUAGCAUCGAGACAACUAGCAAGCAAAGAUAUUAGUGAUAUCCAAGGUAAUGGUCAUCUUGCCUGAAAUCCCGUUAGGAAGAAGACCGAAUCCAUGAAGAAGACGAACGAGCGUAGUCGAACGAAUCCUCACAAUCGCAUCCUUAUAGGGAACUAUCAAGAAGACCACAACUAGAAAGAAGCAAACAAUACGGUAAACAACCAUCACAUAAACCUGGCAUGAUGCACAAUCAAGUACUCCCUCUGUUCCUUUAUAUAAGGUGUAUUUGUUUUUUGAUAAAAUUCCACAAUGUAAUGUGCAUUUCUUCUAAUUCCUCAUAAUUCCCUUUUUAGCCCUCUGAAAAAAGGAAAAUAUGUUUUCUGUAAUUGUGUGCAUCUCUCCUUGUAGUAAAAGAAGGAAAUUAUCUCUCUCUCUUCCUCCCUCCCUCCCUCUCUCUCUCGGUUUCAUAUAUCUCUUACUUUCCUAACCUAACUGAUUUACCUGCCACUAGCCAAUGAAGUUACGAAGAGUAAAUUAGUCCUAACUAUUGUGUGCCUUGGUCACCACGCCGAAAAUAAUACACCUUACAUAAAGGAAAUCAAGGAGUAUGAUGCAUAUCCAGUUUAAUAAGUCAUGGCAUGGAAAAAUGCAACAAAUAAUACUACAUAUUAAGUGAAGCUCAGUAUGCAACGAGAUGCAUAUUGAAGAAACUCCACAUUCCAUUAUUUAGACAACUCUCGUUUAUGUACCCAACAAUAUUAAAUGUUGUUAAACAUGGCAAGAGGUGAAGCAUGAAUAAACUAUCUAGCUAGGCAAUUUAAAGGAGGUCGGAAACAACACAUAACAAUUUCGGAAAAUCCCCAUAUGUUAUUUUUGAAUUUGCUAUUGUUCUUCCAUAAACACAAUUUUAAAGUUGUUAGACAUGCAAAGUAAGCGAACCUUGUUGAGUGCGGCGAUUUGGUGCCCGGACUUAGAUGAUCCCAGGCGUGAACAAUACCUCGAUUUGACAUAGAAAAAAGUUCAAAAAAGUUCAACUUUUUUGUAAUGCAAGAUGCUCAUGUGCGUGACCUCAGUACAAAAUUUUGUGAAGUUUGGACAUUCGAGAAGCUCGCGGCAAAAAAGACAAAUUUCAAAUGUCCGAGAAACUUUUGACAAUUGCAUUGUUCACGUUUGAUUUUUUCCUUUAUUGCCAGGAGCUCCUCGAAUGUCCAAAUUCCACAAAUUUUUGCAUGGAGUUCACGCACAUAAGCAUCUUGAUACCACACAAUUUUUGGAAUUUGUUGGAUUUUUUCUAUUUCAAAUCGGGAUACUGUUCACUGGGCUCUGCCUUGGAUUAUCCCACCUUGUUAUCCUACACAUUUUCUACCCAAUUUACAUAUAUAUUUUAUUUAAUUCGGAGCUAUGGUAAUUUGUUAUGAAAUAUACCAUUUUAGCAUGUCAUUUAUGCAAAUUAAUGCAAACAACAAUUUUAAACAUUUUAAUCAUGGAUGAGAGUUGAAUAUAAUUAAGCUACACAAAAUUCUGAUUAUUUUACAUAUAUAAGAAUUUUACAUGUGAUGCACGGUUAUUUAGAUAUGGGCAAUGCAAUUAAAUGGCAUUUUUCUGUAAUUAUGCAAUGUCCUCGAAUAUUGUUAAAAUUGCAGCAGGGAAAAAAGUAGUCGGGCCGAAACUGGGCACUGCUGGGCUGUAACAGGAAUGAGCGCAAGAUAGAAAAACGUGCCCAGGGUGAGGGUUUGCGGUGGUGCUCACAUUGGGCCUUGAGGCCAGUCGGGGCAGACGGGCUGCCAGGCUAAAGUCGAGGUGGGCUGGCGAAGAGGUGGACUGGCGCGGUCGAUGGAGAUGGGGCCCACGCGAGCUGGCCAGCGGUCAACGCGACCCGAGCGGGCACUGACUUUCGUCUCUCUGCUCGAGUGCUCGCACGAGCAGGAGGCCGAUUGCGGCAGGACUUGCGGGGCUCCAGAGAUGGGCGGCGGGCGACGUGGGCACCGAGAAUCGACGGAUCCGGUCAGCGCGGUGCCGGAUCCGGGCGUGGUUGGAGGGGUUCCAACGAGGGCGGCGCAGGGCAUCCAUGACGCGGCGGGGUUGGAACUCCACGGCCAUGUCCAGAGAAGAAAGAGAGGCCAGGGAGGAAUGAAAAAAUAGAGAAGAGUAGAACGAGACGGGCGGCGGUGGAGUCUCACCGGCGAGGGCGUCGACUGGCGGCGGUGUGCUGGAGGCGAGGGAGGAUAAGAAGCACGGGGAGGGGCUCCUCUCCGGUUCUGGACAAGGGAGAACCGAGGGGCGACACUCA